UUACUUAUUAGACGCCGGGUUCAGGGCGAUCAGCAAGGCUCCGACACCAGGUGGAGGCUCAGCAUUGCACUCAGCUGUGUUGAAGCCUGCGACGGACACUAAAUGGGUUCGCUCGG
rnacentral:snRNA from 15 species